GCUUCCUUGCUUCCGCUUGGCCUUCCGCCAUAACUGCUCUACUUUCUGCCAGGAGUGGAAGCAGCCUGAGACCCUCACCAGAGGCAGAUGCUGGCACCAUGCUUCUUGUACAACCUGCAGAACUAUGGAGUCUCGCUCUGUCGCCCAGGCUGGAAUGCAGUGGUGUGAUCUCGACUCACUGCAACCUCCUCCUCCCAGGUUCAAGCGAUUCUCCUGCCUCAGCCUCCUGAGUAGCUGGGACUACAGCCACAUGCCACCACGCCCGGCUACUUUUUGUAUUUUUAA